UACGAAGGGGGCUAGCGUUGCUCGGAAUCACUGGGCGUAAAGGGUGCGUAGGCGGGUCUUUAAGUCAGGGGUGAAAUCCUGGAGCUCAACUCCAGAACUGCCUUUGAUACUGAGGAUCUUGAGUUCGGGAGAGGUGAGUGGAACUGCGAGUGUAGAGGUGAAAUUCGUAGAUAUUCGGAGGAAUACCAGUGGCGAAGGCGGUUAACUGGGUCGGUAUUGACGCUGAGGUGACGAAAGCGUGGGGAGCAAACAGG
rnacentral:rRNA from 1 species